rnacentral:snoRNA from 1 species
GUGUCCUUACCUCAUCCUGGCUGUUCCCCUCACCAGACCUGUGGUGCUGGGGUCUGGGGGUGGACGCAGAUCAACUUACCUCUCGUGUUAGGAGGGCCGUCAAAGACAUGCGCAAGCCCUUAAAGGCAAGAGAGCACAUU